GCUGGCAAUAUAUAUGUCAUAGACGCCAGCAACGCCUCAGCCAUGCGCAGCACAAACACCACUGGCAACAACAAUAGCCAACAUAAUAAUAAUACAAACAUCAGCAACAACAACAACAACAACAGCAACAGCGACCGAUGAUUGCCUGAAGCGAACAGAAAUCCAUCAGAGAGCGACAGAAGAAAGCCUGCUUAGGCGAGAGAAGCUCAGAAGAUUUGAAACCCGCCGUAAUACACCAAAGACGCUGACCAAAAAGAAUAAAAAUAAAUAAAUAAAUAAAAAAAUAAAUAAUAUAAGCUGCAGACAUGUUGAUCAAAGAGUACCGUAUACCACUGCCCCUCACCGUCGAGGAGUACCGGAUCGCCCAGCUGUAUAUGAUAGCGAAAAAGAGCCGAGAGGAAAGCCAUGGCGAAGGCAGCGGAGUUGAAAUCAUUAUCAAUGAGCCCUACAAAGAUGGACCCGGCGGCAAUGGGCAGUACACGAAAAAGAUCUAUCACGUGGGCAGUCACCUGCCGGGCUGGAUAAAAAGCCUAUUACCAAAGAGCGCACUGACCGUUGAGGAGGAGGCAUGGAAUGCCUAUCCAUAUACGCGCACACGCUACACCUGUCCCUUUGUGGAGAAAUUCUCAUUGGAUAUCGAGACCUAUUACCAUCCGGACAAUGGGUACCAGGACAAUGUGUUCCAGCUAUCGGGCAGCGAUCUGCGCAAUCGCGUCGUGGAUGUGAUUGAUAUUGUGAAGGAUCAGCUGUGGGGCGGCGAUUAUGUGAAGGAGGAGGAUCCCAAGCAUUUUGUAUCAGAGAAGACGGGCCGUGGCCCGCUGGGCGACGAUUGGCUAGAGGAGUACUGGCGCGAGGUGAAGGGCAAGAAGCAGCCGACGUCCCGCAACAUGGCCCUGAUGACGGCCUAUAAGAUUUGUCGCGUCGAAUUCCGCUAUUGGGGCAUGCAGACCAAGCUGGAGAAGUUCAUACACGACGUGGCGCUGCGGAAGACAAUGCUGCGGGCCCAUCGCCAGGCCUGGGCGUGGCAAGACGAGUGGCACGGCCUCACCAUUGAGGACAUACGCGAGCUGGAGCGUCAGACGCAGCUGGCUCUAGCCAAGAAAAUGGGCGGCGGCGAGGAGUGCAGCGAUGACAGCACCUCGGAGCCAUAUGUGAGCAGCGCCACCGCGGCACCCGCAUCGGGCACGAGUGAGCGCAAGAAAUCAGCGCCGGCUGUGCCGCCCAUUGUUACCCAGCAGCCGCCGAGCGCCGAGGCCAGUUCGGAUGAGGACGAUGAGGACGACGAUGACGAGGAUGAGAACGAUGCCGUCGGCAGCCAUGUGGAGCUGGGUGCCCAGACCAGUGCCAAUCAACGUUCCCGCUCCCAAAGCAUUCAAUUGGCCAACAAGGCCAAGUUCGGCUCGAAGGGCGCCCUCCAUUCGCCCGUGGGAUCCGCGCACAGCUUUGACCUGCAGUCGAAAAAGGCGCAUGGCAAGCCAGCAGUACGCCGUCAUGUGGCCAACUGGCGCAUGGAACGUCUGGAAGUGGACUCCAAAUCGAACUCGGAUGAAGAGUUCUUCGAUUGCUUGGACACGAAUGAGACCAACUCGCUGGCCAAGUGGAGUUCACUGGAGCUGUUGGGCGAGGGCGAUGACAGUCCGCCUCCGCAUGGCGGCAGCUCCAGUGGCAGCGGCGGUGCUGGCAGCGUGGCCGGACGCCACAAGCAGGAGGACAGCAUUUUCAAUCAGGACUUUCUGAUGCGCGUCGCAUCGGAGCGCGGCAAUAAGCGUCAGCUACGCUCCUCGGCCAGCAUCGAUCGCAGUCACGACUCAUCGCCGCCGGGCUCGCCGAGCACGCCCUCUUGCCCCACAACCAUACUGAUGCUGGUGGUGCACGCCGGCAGCGUUCUGGAUGCGGCCAGUGAGCUGACCGCCAAGAAGUCGGAUGUGACCACCUUCAAGGGCUCCUUUGAGGCCGUCAUGCGCCAGCAUUAUCCCAGCCUCUUGACGCACCUGACCAUUAAGAUGGUGCCAUGCCCAUCGAUUUGCACGGAUGCCCUGGGCAUACUCUCGAGCCUCAGUCCGUAUUCGUUUGACGCGUCGCCCUCGGCCGCGGACAUACCCAACAUAGCGGAUGUGCCGAUCGGAGCCAUACCGCUGCUGGCCGUGGCCUCGCCCGAGUUCCAGGAGACGGUGAACAAGACGGUGGCCGCUGCCAAUAUUGUCUAUCAUGAGUUCCUUAAGUCGGAGGAGGGCCACGGCUUCUCGGGCCAAGUGGUCAUGCUGGGCGACUCCAUGGGCUCACUGCUGGCCUAUGAGGCCCUCUGUCGCUCCAACGGCAGCCAGCCGAAUGCCGGCAAUUCGUCGCAGGCCGCCGGCCACAGCCAAGCCGGCGGCGCUGGCUCUGGCGCUGGCGACUGUAGUCGCAUGUCGCGCAUGGAUGACGAUGAGCGUUUCAUUGACUCCGACCUGGAUGCGAAGCGUUUGCUGGUGGCACCAUCGCCGCGACGGCGUCGCUCCAGUUCCUCCAGCGAUUCGCGUGCCACCAAGCUGGACUUUGAGGUCAGCGACUUUUUCAUGUUCGGCUCGCCGCUGUCGGUGGUCCUGGCCGCACGGAAGCUGCACGACUCAAAGACGGCUUUGGCCCGCCCCAAUUGCCAUCAGGUGUACAAUCUGUUCCAUCCAACGGACCCGAUUGCCUCCCGCCUGGAGCCCCUGCUGAGUGCACGCUUCUCCAUAUUGUCGCCGGUGAAUGUGCCGCGCUAUGCCAAGUAUCCGCUGGGCAAUGGACAGCCGCUGCAUUUAUUGGAAGUAAUACAAUCGCAUCCGCAGCACUUUAACGACGGCAAUAAUUUGCUCUCUGCGGGCCGACGACUCUCGGAUGCAUCCAUGCAGAGCACCAUCUCGGGCCUCAUUGAGAAUGUCUCGCUCAGCACCAUACACUCGCUUCAGAACAAAUGGUGGGGCACAAAGCGUUUGGAUUAUGCUCUUUAUUGUCCCGAGGGGCUGAGCAAUUUCCCGGCACAUGCUCUGCCGCAUCUAUUCCAUGCCAGCUACUGGGAGAGUCCCGAUGUGAUUGCGUUCAUAUUGCGGCAAAUCGGCAAAUUCGAGGGCAUACCGUUUGUGGGCUCCCACGAUGACAAGGACAACGCUUCGUUCCAUCCGGGUCAGCCGCGCGAGAAGUGGAUCAAGAAGCGCACAUCCGUCAAGCUCAAGAAUGUGGCGGCCAAUCAUCGGGCCAACGAUGUCAUCGUGCAGGAGGGACGGGAGCAGCGAUUGAAUGCACGAUUCAUGUACGGGCCGCUGGACAUGAUCACGCUGCAUGGGGAGAAGGUGGAUGUGCACAUUAUGAAGGAUCCGCCGGCGGGCGAAUGGACAUUCCUCAGCACCGAAAUGACCGACAAAAAUGGCCGCAUCUCGUACACCAUUCCCGACCAUUUGUCUCUGGGCUAUGGCAUCUAUCCGGUCAAGAUGGUGGUGCGCGGCGAUCACACAUCUGUGGACUGCUAUAUGGCUGUGGUGCCGCCGUUGACCGAGUGUGUUGUGUUUAGCAUUGACGGCUCCUUCACGGCAUCCAUGUCGGUGACUGGGCGUGAUCCGAAGGUGCGCGCUGGCGCCGUCGAUGUCUGCCGCCAUUGGCAGGAGCUGGGCUAUCUGCUAAUCUACAUUACCGGACGGCCGGACAUGCAGCAGCAGCGUGUCGUCUCCUGGCUCAGCCAGCACAAUUUUCCCCACGGUCUGAUUUCGUUCGCCGAUGGCCUAUCCACCGAUCCGUUGGGCCACAAGACCGCCUAUCUCAAUAAUCUCGUGCAGAACCAUGGAAUCUCAAUUACCGCCGCCUACGGCAGCAGCAAGGAUAUUAGCGUGUACACCAAUGUGGGCAUGCGGCCGGAGCAGAUCUUUAUUGUGGGCAAGGUGGGCAAGAAACUGCAAUCGAAUGCCACGGUGCUCAGCGAGGGCUAUGCCGCCCACUUGGCUGGCCUGCAGGCCGUCGGUGGCUCCCGUCCGGCCAAGGGUAAUGCGCGCAUGGUCAUUCCGCGCGGCUGCUUCAAUCUGCCGGGACAGUCGGCCAAUCCGCGACGCAGAAGCAAUGAGACGGGCCUAUCAUCGCCGAUACGCAGCGGCUAUCUUAAACGCAAAACCUACCUGAGCCAUCACUAGAUCGAUCCCAGCAGAGGAGCAACCUAACAGAGAGCGUCACAAUAGAUAACCGAUAGAGAGAGAUAGCGAGAGCGUGAGCUUAGAGAGAAAUGUGUGCGUGAUGAGUAAUGCAUUUUAGUUUAUAGCAUAUCGAUAUGCAAAUCUAUCGAUUAAUCUAACGCAACCAGCAACUCCCACAAAUACAAGCCAUGCAACUAGCAAUCAACUAUAUUUAUAAUAAUAAAUAAACCAGCAUAUAUGUACCUAUCAAGCAAAACGCUUCGUAUAUGUUUAGAUGACAUCUAAGCAUACUAUUGGAUCAGCAUUAGUUGCAGUUUAACAACAACAACAAUAGCAACAACAACAUCUCAGCAUCGAUUGCCACCAUAUGCAACAUCUGUGUAUAUACAUAAAGCCCGUUAUAUUAUGCGCAAUAUAUAGCCAACUACAUAUAUGGUGUAUAUACAAUAUACAAGAUACAAAAAAAAAAAUAUAUAUAUAUGAAAAAUUCAAAAAAUGAUAAAAAAAAAAAAACUAAAUCAAUUGUACAACAUAUAACAAAAGUCAAAUGUGUCACGCGGUACCUGGAAAGAAAGACUGUUUCCUCCUGUUGUUUGAUGGUUUUUCAAACCACAUAAAGAGUAAAAACAAAAACAAAUCACACAAAAUUAAUGAAG